rnacentral:rRNA from 1 species
CUAUCAGGUUGUAGUGGGUGUAACGUACCUACUAGCCUACGACGGAUAUGGGUUGUGAGAGCAAGAGCCCAGAGAUGGAUUCUGAGACAUGAAUCCAGGCCCUACGGGGCGCAGCAGGCGCGAAAACUUUACAAUGCGGGAAACCGCGAUAAGGGGACACCGAGUGCCAGCAUUUAUGUUGGCUGUCCACAUGUGUAAACGGCAUGUGUUAGCAAGGGCCGGGCAAGACCGGUGCCAGCCGCCGCGGUAACACCGGCGGCCCGAGUGGUAAUCACUUUUAUUGGGUCUAAAGGGUCCGUAGCCGGUUUGAUCAGUUCUUCGGGAAAUCUGACAGCUCAACUGUUAGGCUUCCGGGGAAUACUGUCAGACUUGGGACCGGGAGAGGUAAGAGGUACUACAGGGGUAGGAGUGAAAUCUUGUAAUCCCUGUGGGACCACCAGUGGCGAAGGCGUCUUACCAGAACGGGUCCGACGGUGAGGGACGAAAGCUGGGGGCACGAACCGGAUUAGAUACCCGGGUAGUCCCAGCCGUAAACGAUGUUCGCUAGGUGUCAGGGGCGGUGCGACCGCUUCUGGUGCCGUAGGGAAGCCGUGAAGCGAACCACCUGGGAAGUACGGCCGCAAGGCUGAAACUUAAAGGAAUUGGCGGGGGAGCACUACAACGGGUGGAGCCUGCGGUUUAAUUGGACUCAACGCCGGAAAACUCACCGGGGGCGACAGCAAAAUGUAGGUCAAGCUAAAGACUUUACCUGAAUCGCUGAGAGGAGGUGCAUGGCCGUCGUCAGUUCGUACUGUGAAGCAUCCUGUUAAGUCAGGCAACGAGCGAGACCCGUGCCCACUGUUGCCAGCAUGUCCUUCGGGAUGAUGGGUACUCUGUGGGGACCGCUGGUGCUAAACCAGAGGAAGGUGCGGGCUACGGUAGGUCAGUAUGCCCCGAAUCUCCCGGGCUACACG